GCUUAGUUGGUAGAGCACAAGGCUCUUAACCUUGUGGGCGUGGGUUCAAGCCCCAU
rnacentral:tRNA from 1 species